rnacentral:tRNA from 1 species
AGAAAGUCAUAGUGGUAUGGUAUUGGCUUGAAACCAAUUGUAGGAGGUUCGAAUCCUUCCUUUCUA